rnacentral:rRNA from 1 species
AGAGUUUGAUCCUGGCUCAGAACAAACGUUGGCGACGCGUCUUAAGCAUGCAAGUCGAGCGGCAGCAUGGGCUUCGGCCUGAUGGCGAGCGGCGGACUGGUGAGUAACACGUAGAUCAUCUGCCUCACAGACCGGGAUAGCCUCUGGAAACAGGGAUUAAUACCGGAUAUACUGGCAACAGGAAAGUCCCGUUUAGGGCACUGAGAGAAGAGUCUGCGCUCUAUUAGCUAGUUGGCAGGAUAAGAGCCUACCAAGGCGAUGAUAGAUAGCCGGCCUGAGAGGGUGUACGGCCACAUUGGGACUGAGAUACGGCCCAGACUCCUACGGGAGGCAGCAGCUAAGAAUAUUCCGCAAUGGGCGCAAGCCUGACGGAGCGACGUCGCGUGAACGAUGAAGGCCUUCGGGUUGUAAAGUUCUUUCGGCAGGGAAGAAUAAGGCAGGCAGGAAAUGGUUUGCCGAUGACUGUACCUGCAUAAGAAGCCCCGGCUAACUACGUGCCAGCAGCCGCGGUAAUACGUAGGGGGCAAACGUUGUUCGGAAUUAUUGGGCGUAAAGCGCACGUAGGCUGACGUAUAAGUCAGUGGUUAAAUACUCAGGCUCAACCUGAGAGCUGCCACUGAUACUGUAUGUCUGGAGUUGCACAGAGGCAGCAGGAAUUCCUGGUGUAGGGGUGAAAUCUGUAGAUAUCAGGAGGAACACCAAUGGCGAAGGCAAGCUGCUGGGUGACAACUGACGCUGAGGUGCGAAAGCCAGGGGAGCGAACGGGAUUAGAUACCCCGGUAGUCCUGGCCGUAAACGAUGCACGCUAGUUGUUGGAUGUAUGCAAAUAUACUCAGUGACGAAGCUAACGCGUUAAGUGUGCCGCCUGGGGAGUAUGCCCGCAAGGGUGAAACUCAAAGGAAUUGACGGGGGCCCGCACAAGCGGUGGAGCAUGUGGUUCAAUUCGAUGUACGCGAAAAAUCUUACCUGGGUUUAAAUGUCGGUAGACAGCUUCAGAGAUGAAGUCUCCCUUCGGGGCUGCCGGUAUGGUGCUGCAUGGCUGUCGUCAGCUCGUGUCGUGAGAUGUUGGGUUAAGUCCCGCAACGAGCGCAACCCUCACCCUUUGUUGCUAAACCAGGCUACGGUCUGGCAGGACUCUUAGGGAACUGCUCCGGUCAACGGGGAGGAAGGUGGGGAUGACGUCAAGUCCUCAUGGCCCUUAUGCCCAGGGCUACACACGUGCUACAAUGGGAUGUACAAAGGGAUGCUAUACCGCAAGGUGGCGCAAAUCCCAAAAAAACAUCCCCCAGUUCGGAUUGCAGUCUGAAACUCGACUGUAUGAAGGUGGAAUUGCUAGUAAUCGCAGAUCAGAAUGCUGCGGUGAAUACGUUCUCGGGCCUUGUACACACCGCCCGUCACACCACCCGAGCGAAGUUUACCCGAAGUCCCCGC